GUGUAACACUUCACUGUAACACUUUGAUAUUAGGUAUCACUUGGUUGUAACACUUUGAUUUUUUGUUUUUUAAUUUUUUUUUUCUUAUCAAAACCGGUUACCUGAUUCAAACAUUCAAUCGACCCUCAUAGUGUAACCCAACUUUCUUCCUCCUCGUAUUUCUCCCUUCCUCGGCUUCUAUUGCACCUCCUUUCCUUGGCUUCCACCACUACCUUCUUCUCAUUCCCGGUGCUCCAUCGUAGCCCCCGUCCACCACAGCCUACCUCCAUCGCGAUCGGUGCUCCAACUCGAAGAUGUAAACAACAGCCCGUGCUUCGAGCGAAGAGACAACAAUUGCCACCUCCAAAGACAUCAAUUACCACCUAUAAGCGUCCAUCCUAGUCGGUCGCUUCCACCUUAAAUUUUAGGUUAGGGUUAGUCGUUUCCUCUCCCUUCCACUAUCAACAAGAAUUUGAGCUAGCUAAACUUGUCAAGAAUCCAAGUAAUUAUGGGCGAAAGAGAUGAAGAAAUCCAAGGCAAUGCCAAUUAUAAUCAGAUGAAUGGUGUUUAGUUGUUAAUUCCUGCUGCUGCCAAAACUACCACUCUUGGAAAGUGCGGCCACUCAAGAAUAUAGUGAGGGUUUGUAUGGUUUUGAUGACUGAUGCCGGAAAAGGUACUUGUUAAAAAUUGUAACUUGGGAUCAGUCACUGUAUCCAGCAGCUCCAAAGCAUGCCGCGAGAAACAAUGAAGGGAUCAUCUAAAUUAAA